rnacentral:rRNA from 1 species
CAGUCGCCGCGGUAAUACGGAGGGUGCAAGCGUUAUCCGGAAUUAUUGGGCAUAAAGGGCAUCUAGACGGCCAGGCAAGUCUGGGGUGAAAACCUGCGGCUCAACCGCAGGCCUGCCCUGGAAACUGCGUGGCUAGAGUGCUGGAGAGGUGGACGGAACUGCACGAGUAGAGGUGAAAUUCGUAGAUAUGUGCAGGAAUGCCGAUGAUGAAGAUAGUUCACUGGACGGCAACUGACGCUGAAGUGCGAAAGCCGGGGGAGCGAACAGGAUUAGAUACCCCCGUAGUCCCUGUCUCUUAUAA